rnacentral:rRNA from 1 species
GAUGAACGCUGGCGGCGUGCCUAAUACAUGCAAGUCGAGCGAAUGGAUUAAGAGCUUGCUCUUAUGAAGUUAGCGGCGGACGGGUGAGUAACACGUGGGUAACCUGCCCAUAAGACUGGGAUAACUCCGGGAAACCGGGGCUAAUACCGGAUAACAUUUUGAACCGCAUGGUUCGAAAUUGAAAGGCCGCUUCGGCUGUCACUUAUGGAUGGACCCGCGUCGCAUUAGCUAGUGGGUGAGGUAACGGCUCACCAAGGCAACGAUGCGUAGCCGACCUGAGAGGGUGAUCGGCCACACUGGGACUGAGACACGGCCCAGACUCCUACGGGAGGCAGCAGUAGGGAAUCUUCCGCAAUGGACGAAAGUCUGACGGAGCAACGCCGCGUGAGUGAUGAAGGCUUUCGGGUCGUAAAACUCUGUUGUUAGGGAAGAACAAGUGCUAGUUGAAUAAGCUGGCACCUUGACGGUACCUAACCAGAAAGCCACGGCUAACUACGUGCCAGCCGCCGCGGUAA